rnacentral:rRNA from 1 species
AUAAGAUAUCAAGGGCAACAGGUGAAUGCCUUGGCGCUGAGAGGCGAUGAAAGACGCGGUAAGCUGCGAUAAGCAUCGGGGAGGAGCUAAACAUCCUACGAUCCGAUGAUUUCUGAAUGGGGAAACCCGAUGGGAGUCAUGUCCCAUCAUCCUGAGCUGAAUAUAUAGGCCCAGAGAAGCCAACCCGGGGAAGUGAAACAUCUCAGUACCCGGAGGAAGAGAAAUCAAACGAGACUCCCAAAGUAGCGGCGAGCGAAAUGGGAAGAGCCCAAACCGAGUGGUUUCGACCAUUCGGGGUUGUAGGGCCGGCAUACGCGAUUCUGGAGUAGGCAGAGGAAGUGAGCUGGAAAGCUCCGCCACAGCGGGUGAUAGCCCCGUACUCGAAACCGAAAAGGACGCAGCCGGUACCUGAGUACUGCGAGGCACGUGGAACCUCGUGGGAAUCUAGGGGGACCAUCCUCUAAGGCUAAGUACUCCUCAGCGACCGAUAGUGAACUAGUACCGUGAGGGAAAGGUGAAAAGAACCCCUGUUAGGGGAGUGAAAUAGAAUCUGAAACCUGUUGCCUACAAGCUGCGAGAGCUACUUCGGUAGUGAUCGCGUGCCUUUUGUAUAAUGAGUCAGCGAGUUACUCUACCGUGCGAGGUUAAGCGAAAGCGUAGCCGUAGUGAAAGCGAGGCUUAAUAGGCCGACUAGUACGUUGGAGUAGACCCGAAACCGGGUGAUCUAUCCAUGAGCAGGUUGAAGCAAGGGUAAAGCCUUGUGGAGGACCGAACCGUCAACGGCUGAAAACGUUCCGGAUGACUUGUGGAUAGGGGUGAAAGGUCAAUCAAACCCGGUGAUAGCUGGUUCUCCCCGAAAUAUAUUGAGGUAUAGCCUCGGGAAUUGAUUAGCGGAGGUAAAGCACUGACAGAGCUAGGGGUCCUACCAGAUUACCAAACUCUAUCAAACUCAGAAUGCCGCUUAAUCGUAUCCCGGGAGUCAGACGGCGGGUGCGAAGGUUCGUCGUCAAAAGGGAAACAGCCCAGACCAACAGCUAAGGUCUCCAAAUCCAUGCUCAGUGGUGAAGGUAGUGGAACCGUUUAGACAGCCAGGACGUUGGCUUAGAAGCAGCCAUCGUUUAAAGAAAGCGUAAUAGCUCACUGGUCUAAUGGCUCUGCGCCGAAAAUGUAACGGGGCUAAGCAUGGUACCGAAGCUUUGGCAAUCCCCUUUGGGGAUUGGGUAGGGGAGCGUUCGCUGCGGGCUGAAGGUGUGCCGGAAGGCAUGCUGGACUGCAGUGAAGUGAUUAUGCUGACAUGAGUAACGAUAAAAUAUGUGAAAAACAUAUUCGCCGAAAACCCGAGGUUUCCUGGGUAAAGGUAAUCUUCCCAGGGUUAGUCGGAUCCUAAGGUGAGGGUGAAAGCCGUAACCGAUGGAAAACAGGUUAAUAUUCCUGUACUUGUUGUGUAGCGCGAUGGAGGGACGCAGGAAGAUAGGCGGGCCGGGUGUUGGAUAUCCCGGUGCAAGCGUGUAGGAAUAUCCGGUAGGCAAAUCCGCCGGACGAAUCUGAGACGCGAGUCCGUGGGCGCAAGCCCUGAAGCCGUUGAGUCUAUGCUGCCUAGAAAAGCUCCUAAGUUUAUCCACAGCAAUCCGUACCGCAAACCAACUCAGGUGGGUGGGAUGAACAAUCCAAGGCGCUCGAGAGAACUCUGGCCAAGGAACUCGGCAAAAUAACCCCGUAACUUCGGAAGAAGGGGUGCUCUCUAGGGUGACAUGUUUAACAUAUGAAGCCCCGGGGAGCCGCAGUGAAUUGGUGGUGGCGACUGUUUACUAAAAACAUAGGUCUGUGCGAAGUCCUAAAGACGACGUAUACGGACUGACGCCUGCCCGGUGCUGGAAGGUUAAAAGGAGAUGUGCAAGCAUUGAAUUGAAGCCCCAGUGAACGGCGGCCGUAACUAUAACGGUCCUAAGGUAGCGAAAUUCCUUGUCAGGUAAG